rnacentral:tRNA from 1 species
AGGAUUAUAAUUUAAUUAAAAUAUUUGAUUUGCAGUCAAAAAAAAUAGGAAAUCUAUUUAUCUUA